ensembl:snRNA U6 U6 spliceosomal RNA
GUGCUCACUUCGGCAGCAUAUAUACUAAAAUUGGAACAAUACAGAGAAGAUUAGUAUGGCCACUACACAAGGAUGACAUGCAAGUUUGUGAAGCGUUGCAUAUUUAA